rnacentral:rRNA from 1 species
UACGUAGGGCGCAAGCGUUGUCCGGAAUUAUUGGGCGUAAAGAGCUCGUAGGCGGUUUGUCGCGUCUGUCGUGAAAGCCCACGGCUUAACCGUGGGUCUGCGGUGGAUACGGGCAGACUAGAGGCAGGUAGGGGAGAAUGGAAUUCCCGGUGUAGCGGUGAAAUGCGCAGAUAUCGGGAGGAACACCGGUGGCGAAGGCGGUUCUCUGGGCCUGUACUGACGCUGAGGAACGAAAGCGUGGGGAGCGAACAGG